GCACAAUCGGUCGUGGAAUGUUGAGGCCGCGUGUUGUGAAUUUAAGAACCGUGAGAAACAAUUAGUGCAAGUGCCAAUUAAGCAGUAUCCGACCAUCGGGAACAAGAUGACAGCCAACGACCCCUAUUUUCUAAAUCUCUUCAGAUUUUUAAAAUCUGACCACCAGAACCCCCACAAACCAUCAGAUCAUCGACAAAAAUUCAAGGAUCAGCGAGAAUCGGAUUAAAG